CGUAGGGUCGAGCGUUGUCCGGAGUUACUGGGCGUAAAGCGCAUGCAGGCGGCUCAUUACGCACGGCGUGAAAGCCCCGGCUCAACCGGGAGGGUCGUCGUGUACGGGUGAGCUUGAGGGUAGUCAGGGGCGUGGUGGAAUUCCCGGUGUAGUGGUGAAAUAGCGUAGAGAUCGGGAGGAACACCUGUGGCGAAGGCGGCCAGCUGGGAUACACCUGACGCUGAGAUGCGAAGGCGUGGGGAGCGAACGGGAUU
rnacentral:rRNA from 1 species